GGCGACGUGGCCAAGUGGUAAGGCAGGGGCCUGCAAAGCCCUUAUCCCCCGGUUCGAAUCCGGGCGUCGCCUCCA
rnacentral:tRNA from 1 species